rnacentral:tRNA from 1 species
UUCGGAAUAGCUUAAAAUAAAGCAUUGAUUUUGUAAUUCAAAGAUUGGAUAACCCCUUCCGAAU